rnacentral:lncRNA from 1 species
CUGUGACGUGAUGAUGCUGCUCAUCUUCAUCUCCAGCUGUGUGGGUGAUGGAGGCUGAGGAUUGUGUGGAUGAUCAGGAGCUUCACUCUGAAUCCUGACCUCCUCCUUGUGCUUCAGUGGUUUCUGGCUUCAUAACUUGGUCACCAUGGCGACCAUCUGGAUGACUGAGGUCCCUGAUUUGACUUUCUGAGAUCAGUCGUCACUGUUAAUGUUUAUAUUUUGUUGUGAUUGUUAAAAGUUAGCAGGCUGUUACAUCUGGUAUCAUGUAUUGGUGUUUGUCCUCUAAUAUAUCAGG